GUGGUUUGUCCUGAUUGUAGUGAUGAGAUUGCUGUAAAAAAGGACAAUAUUCUUGUUCGAUCUUUCAAAGAUGGAAAAUUUACUUCAGUUCCAAGAAAAGAUGUCCAUGAAAUUACUAGUGACACUGCACCAAAGCCUGAUGCUGUUUUAAAACAAGCCUUUGAACAGGCACUUGAAUUUCAUAAAAGUAGAACUAUUCCUGCUAACUGGAAGACUGAAUUGAAAGAAGAUAGCUCUAGCAGUGAAGCAGAGGAAGAAGAGGAGGAGGAAGAUGAUGAAAAAGAAAAGGAGGAUAAUAGCAGUGAAGAAGAGGAAGAAAUAGAACCAUUUCCAGAAGAAAGGGAGAACUUUCUUCAGCAAUUGUACAAAUUUAUGGAAGAUAGAGGUACACCUAUUAACAAACGACCUGUACUUGGAUAUCGAAAUUUGAAUCUCUUUAAGUUAUUCAGACUUGUACACAAACUUGGAGGAUUUGAUAAUAUUGAAAGUGGAGCUGUUUGGAAGCAAGUCUACCAAGAUCUUGGAAUCCCUGUCUUAAAUUCAGCUGCAGGAUACAAUGUUAAAUGUGCUUAUAAAAAAUACUUAUAUGGUUUUGAGGAGUACUGUAGAUCAGCCAACAUUGAAUUUCAGAUGGCAUUGCCAGAGAAAGUUGUUAACAAGCAAUGUAAGGAGUGUGAAAAUGUAAAAGAAGUAAAAGUUAAGGAGGAAAAUGAAACAGAGAUCAAAGAAAUAAAGAUGGAGGAGGAGAAGAAUAUAAUACCAAAAGAAGAAAAGCCUAUUGAGGAUGAAAUUGAAAGAAAAGAAAAUAUUAAGCCUUCUCUGGGAAGUAAAAAGAAUUUAUUAGAAUCUAUACCUACACAUUCUGAUCAGGAAAAAGAAGUUAACAUUAAAAAACCAGAAGAAAAUGAAAAUCUGGACGACAAAGAUGAUGACACAACUAGGAUAGAUGAAUCCCUCAACAUAAAGGUAGAAGCUGAGGAAGAAAAAGCAAAAUCUGGAGAUGAAACGAAUAAAGAAGAAGAUGAAGAUGAUGAAGAAGCAGAAGAGGAGGAGGAGGAGGAAGAAGAAGAAGAGGAUGAAGAUGAUGAUGACAACAAUGAGGAAGAGGAGUUUGAAUGCUAUCCACCAGGCAUGAAAGUCCAAGUGCGGUAUGGACGAGGGAAAAAUCAAAAAAUGUAUGAAGCUAGUAUUAAAGAUUCUGAUGUCGAAGGUGGAGAGGUCCUUUACUUGGUGCAUUACUGCGGAUGGAAUGUGAGAUACGACGAAUGGAUUAAAGCAGAUAAAAUAGUAAGACCUGCUGAUAAAAACGUGCCAAAGAUAAAACAUCGGAAGAAAAUAAAGAAUAAAUUAGACAAAGAAAAAGACAAAGAUGAAAAAUACUCUCCAAAAAACUGUAAACUUCGGCGCUUGUCCAAACCACCAUUUCAGACAAAUCCAUCUCCUGAAAUGGUGUCCAAACUGGAUCUCACUGAUGCCAAAAACUCUGAUACUGCUCAUGUUAAGUCCAUAGAAAUUACUUCAAUCCUCAAUGGACUUCAAGCUUCUGAAAGUUCUGCUGAAGACAGUGAGCAGGAAGAUGAGAGAGGUGCUCAAGACAUGGAUAAUAAUGGCAAAGAGGAAUCUAAGAUUGAUCAUUUGACCAACAACAGAAAUGAUCUUAUUUCAAAGGAGGAACAGAACAGUUCAUCUUUGCUAGAAGAAAACAAAGUUCAUGCAGAUUUGGUAAUAUCCAAACCAGUGUCAAAAUCUCCAGAAAGAUUAAGGAAAGAUAUAGAAGUAUUAUCUGAAGAUACUGAUUAUGAAGAAGAUGAAGUCACAAAAAAGAGAAAGGAUGUCAAGAAGGACACAACAGAUAAAUCUUCAAAACCACAAAUAAAACGUGGUAAAAGAAGGUAUUGCAAUACAGAAGAGUGUCUAAAAACUGGAUCACCUGGCAAAAAGGAAGAGAAGGCCAAGAACAAAGAAUCACUUUGCAUGGAAAACAGUAGCAACAGCUCUUCAGAUGAAGAUGAAGAAGAAAAAUCAAAAGCAAAGAUGACACCAACUAAGAAAUACAAUGGUUUGGAGGAAAAAAGAAAAUCUCUACGGACAACUGGUUUCUAUUCAGGAUUUUCAGAAGUGGCAGAAAAAAGGAUUAAACUUUUAAAUAACUCUGAUGAAAGACUUCAAAACAGCAGGGCCAAAGAUCGAAAAGAUGUCUGGUCAAGUAUUCAGGGACAGUGGCCUAAAAAAACGCUGAAAGAGCUUUUUUCAGACUCUGAUACUGAGGCUGCAGCUUCCCCACCGCAUCCUGCCCCAGAGGAGGGGGUGGCAGAGGAGUCACUACAGACUGUGGCUGAAGAGGAGAGUUGUUCACCCAGUGUAGAAAUAGAAAAACCACCUCCAGUCAAUGUCGAUAGUAAAUCCAUUGAAGAAAAAACAGUAGAGGUCAAUGACAGAAAAGCAGAAUUUCCAAGUAGUGGCAGUAAUUCAGUGCUAAAUACCCCUCCUACUACACCUGAAUCGCCUUCAUCAGUCACUGUAACAGAAGGCAGCCGGCAGCAGUCUUCUGUAACAGUAUCAGAACCACUGGCUCCAAACCAAGAAGAGGUUCGAAGUAUCAAGAGUGAAACUGAUAGCACAAUUGAGGUGGAUAGUGUUGCUGGGGAGCUCCAAGACCUCCAGUCUGAAGGGAAUAGCUCGCCAGCAGGUUUUGAUGCCAGUGUGAGCUCAAGCAGUAGUAAUCAGCCAGAACCAGAACAUCCUGAAAAAGGUGAGAAGGAAAAUGUGUAUGUUGACUUAUUUUAGGGUUUCCCCUCUUAAAGUUUCAAUGAUUUCACAGUAUCUCUUGUUAUAACGUGAGGCGAUUAAGUGUCAUAUUUGUGUGAACAUGGUAAAAAUGGAAAUUUUAAAGGUAAUUUGAAAAUGAAUAGUGGAAUGCAUUUAAAAGCUUGAGAAGGCUUUAAUAUGCUUUGCUUGAGCCAUCCAUGACAUUUUAUUGUGGACCAGAACACAUGCUAGAAAUUGCACCCAGGCCCAAAUCCAAACCUGUUUGAGAAUUCAUUAUAUGCAGUGGUUGACUAUAUGGCAUGAGCAGCUUAAAUCUAUUUCUGUAACAUUGUUUUUGCAAUUGUAAUGUGCAGUUUCUCACGAACAUUUUGAUUUAUUGACAGACCCCUCCACCCUUAACCAAAUACUGUAUGUAGGGGUUUGGAGCAACCAACUGUCCAGGCACUGCUUUCCUCAGACAACCGUGUCAAACUGAUUUUCAAGCCUGACUAACUUGUGUGAGUUUGUAAAGGAAUUUGAUGCUUUCUUAGAUGCAUAGCUUCCAAAUUGAAGGACCAAUGUGUACGUUAAUAACCUACAGUAAUACUUUUUUGAUUUUCCGUGAAAUUGUUAAAAGUGGAAAUUCAAAUCGGUACCUUCCCAAAGUAUUGGUGCCUUUCGAUGGUGCCAUAGCCAUACUUCUGUCAUCAUUUUUCUUAUAAACCACUUCAUUCAGGUAUCUUUAAAUCAGUAUACUCUAGGCUGACACCUGGCUUUAGAACACACUUUUCCAUUGUAAAGACAGAGCACUGGAGUAUGUUUUUUAUAUACCAUAAAAGAUUUUAGAAUGCUAGCUUUAGGUUUUCAGCAAAGCUUAAAGAGAUAUGGUCUAGAUCAAAUUAGUUAAUUCUAUGUUUUCUCAGGAAUUUUGACUUAAAACAUUUCUGUUUUAAAAUAAAUUAAAAAAAUACUUGCAAUUAAAUUGAAAUGUUCUUUGCUUUUUUUCACAUUUACAAGUAUAACUACUGUGAUUUUAUCUGUGCCAUACUAUCUCAUGGAACUGAACUAUCCAGGCAUGACUCAUCUUCAAAAUGAAAGAAUCCUUUAUUUCAGAAUAUUAGGCUUUCAACAAUAAGAUUUUACUGGCCAGGUGUGGUCACUCACACCUGUAAUCCCAGCAAUUUGGGAGGUCUGGGAAGUCAAGGCGGUGGAUCGCUUGAGUCCAGGAGUUCAAGACCAGCCUGGACAACAUGGCAAAACCCCAUCUCUACCAAAAAUACAAACAUCAGCCAGCUGUGGUGGCGCAUGCCUGUAGUCCCAGCUACCUUGGGGGCAGAUGGGGGAGAAUCACUUGAUCCCGGAAAGGCUGCAGUGAGCCAAGAUCACGCCACUGCACUCCAGCCUGGGUGAUAAAACAAGACCCUGUCUCAAAACAAAAACAACAACAAA
rnacentral:sRNA from 1 species